AGGAGAGAAUCCUAAGGUGCGCGGGAGAACUCUCGUUAAGGAACUCGGCAAAAUGACCCCGUAACUUCGGGAGAAGGGGUGCUCUCUUGGGUCUCCAGCCCGAGAGAGCCGCAGUGAAAAGGCCCAAGCGACUGUUUAACAAAAACACAGGUCUCUGCGAAGCCGUAAGGCGAAGUAUAGGGGCUGACACCUGCCCGGUGCUGGAAGGUUAAGGGGAGCGCUUAGCUUACGCGAAGGUGCGAACCGAAGCCCCAGUAAACGGCGGCCGUAACUAUAACGGUCCUAAGGUAGCGAAAUUCCUUGUCGGGUAAGUUCCGACCCGCACGAAAGGUGUAACGACUUGGGCACUGUCUCAACGAGAGACCCGGUGAAAUUAUAGUACCUGUGAAGAUGCAGGUUACCCGCGACAGGACGGAAAGACCCCGUGGAGCUUUACUGCAGCCUGAUAUUGAAUUUUGGUAUCGCUUGUACAGGAUAGGUGGGAGCCUGAGAAGCCGGAGCGCCAGCUUCGGUGGAGGCGACGGUGGGAUACCACCCUGGCGGUAUUGAAAUUCUAACCCGCACCCCUGAUCGGGGUGGGAGACAGUGUCAGGUGGGCAGUUUGACUGGGGCGGUCGCCUCCCAAAGAGUAACGGAGGCGCCCAAAGGUUCCCUCAGAAUGGUUGGAAAUCAUUCGUAGAGUGCAAAGGCAGAAGGGAGCUUGACUGCGAGACCUACAAGUCGAGCAGGGACGAAAGUCGGGCUUAGUGAUCCGGUGGUUCCGCAUGGAAGGGCCAUCGCUCAACGGAUAAAAGCUACCCCGGGGAUAACAGGCUUAUCUCCCCCAAGAGUCCACAUCGACGGGGAGGUUUGGCACCUCGAUGUCGGCUCAUCGCAUCCUGGGGCUGUAGUCGGUCCCAAGGGUUGGGCUGUUCGCCCAUUAAAGCGGUACGCGAGCUGGGUUCAGAACGUCGUGAGACAGUUCGGUCCCUAUCCGUCGCGGGCGUAGGAAAUUUGAGAGGAGCUGUCCUUAGUACGAGAGGACCGGGAUGGACGCACCGCUGGUGUACCAGUUGUCCCGCCAGGGGCACCGCUGGGUAGCUAUGUGCGGAAGGGAUAAGCGCUGAAAGCAUCUAAGCGUGAAGCCCCCCUCAAGAUGAGAUUUCCCAUCGC
rnacentral:rRNA from 1 species